rnacentral:rRNA from 1 species
CAUUUGGCUGUCCGAGUUGUAAUCUAGAGAAGUGCUAUYCGCGCUGGACCGUGUACAAGUCUCCUGGAAUGGAGCGUCAUAGAGGGUGAGAAUCCCGUCUUUGACACGGACUACCAGGGCUUUGUGAUGUGCUCUCAAAGAGUCGAGUUGUUUGGGAAUGCAGCUCAAAAUGGGUGGUAAAUUCCAUCUAAAGCUAAAUAUUGGCGAGAGACCGAUAGCGAACAAGUACCGUGAGGGAAAGAUGAAAAGAACUUUGGAAAGAGAGUUAAACAGUACGUGAAAUUGCUGAAAGGGAAACGCUUGAAGUCAGUCGCGUUGUCCAGGGAUCAACCUUGCUUUUGCUUGGUGCAUUUUCUGGUUGACGGGUCAGCAUCAAUUUUGACUGUUGGAAAAAGAUCUAGGGAAUGUGGCAUCUUUGGAUGUGUUAUAGCCCUUGGUUGCAUACAAUGGUUGGGAUUGAGGAACUCAGCACGCCGCAAGGCCGGGUUUUUAMCCMCDUACKUGCUUAGGAUGCUGGCAUAAUGGCUUUAAUCGACCCGUCUUGAAACACGGACCAAGGAGUCUAACAUGCCUGCGAGUGUUUGGGUGGAAAACUCGAGCGCGUAAUGAAAGUGAAAGUUGAGAUCCCUGUCGUAGGGAGCAUCGACGCCCAGACCAGACCUUUUGUGACGGAUCUGCGGUAGAGCAUGUAUGUUGGGACCCGAAAGAUGGUSAACUAUGCCUGAAUAGGGUGAAGCCAGAGGAAACUCUGGUGGAGGCUCUUAGCGAUUCUGACGUGCAAAUCGAUCGUCAAAUUUGGGUAUAGGGGCGAAAGA